GCUCAGAUAGUUCAAUGGUAAAACGACUGACUUGUAAUUAGUUGCUCCCAGUUCAAAUCUGGGUCUGAGCU
rnacentral:tRNA from 1 species